AAACAUCAAAGUCAACUACUGGCGAACUCCUCCAGAAUCGGGCAUACAUACUGAACGAUGAGCAGUGCCAGACAAUCAGAGCUGAGAAAACCAGCCAGGAGAAGAUGCGGAAGCUGUACGAGUUGGUGCCAAGCUGGGAUUAAUUGCAGAAGUACCUGCUCUAUCUGGCACUGACGGAAACAAACAGAGACCUGGUUGAAGAGCUGGAGGGGGUACACUUUGUUGACCGGCACCGAGAGAAGCUGAUCCAGCGAGUCUCAGAAGUGGACAGAGUCCUGAAGCUACUUCAGGGGCACACACUAACCCCUGAACAAUACCAGAGCAUCAGCACCGGGAGAUCCAAUGUGGAGAAAAUGCAGAAGCUGUACGAGCUGGUGCCGAGCUGGCGGAGGGAUCAAAAGGACUGGCUCUACCGGGUACUGUGGAGAACAAACAGAGCCCUUGCUGAUGAGUGUGCAGGGGAACAUUUUGUGGAGCGGCAUCGGGAGCAGCUGAUUCAACGCGCCUCUUCAGUUGACAGAAUCCUGCAUAUGCUUCAUCGGCGUGAACGGUCUGAUUUUAUACACCGAAG